CGCGCAGGCGGCUGGCCAAGUCCGAUGUGAAAUCUUCCGGCUUAACUGGAAAACGGCAUCGGAUACUGGUCGGCUGGAAGGUGGGAGAGGGUAGCGGAAUUCCCGGUGUAGUGGUGAAAUGCGUAGAUAUCGGGAGGAACACCAGUGGCGAAAGCGGCUACCUGGCCCACUCUUGACGCUGAGGCGCGAAAGCUAGGGGAGCAAACGGGAUUAGAUACCCCGGUAGUCCUAGCCGUAAACGAUGAACACUAGGCGUUGUCGGUAUCGACCCCGGCAGUGCCGAAGCUAACGCAUUAAGUGUUCCGCCUGGGGAGUACGGCCGCAAGGCUAAA
rnacentral:rRNA from 1 species